CACAGCCGCGGGAAUACAGAGGGUGCGAGCGUUAAUCGGAUUUACUGGGCGUAAAGCGUGCGUAGGCGGCUUCUUAAGUCGGAUGUGAAAUCCCUGAGCUUAACUUAGGAAUUGCAUUCGAUACUGGGAAGCUAGAGUAUGGGAGAGGAUGGUAGAAUUCCAGGUGUAGCGGUGAAAUGCGUAGAGAUCUGGAGGAAUACCGAUGGCGAAGGCAGCCAUCUGGCCUAAUACUGACGCUGAGGUACGAAAGCAUGGGGAGCAAACAGGAUUAGAUACCCGAGUAGUCCCUGUCUCUUAUACA
rnacentral:rRNA from 1 species